CAGUGUGGUGCAGGUGAAUUCGUCCCGCCUCCUGGAGAUCAGCAUGGCCUUGUACAGUGACUCAUCUUACGCAUACAACUACACUGGCCCUGUGGAGCUCCCUUCUGCAGAGCAGCUGUACAUCCAGGUGACCCUGCACUGUGAGAACAGCCUGGCCUACAACAUGAGCCUACAGCUGGAGUCCUGCUGGGCCACACAGACCGCAGACCCACAAGAGGAGAAGAAGGCUUUUUUCCUGAAGGGGGGAACUGCUCUCCCAGGCAAAACCAAAAGGUGAGAAGAGAUCUACCGGACAAACUCACAGCUAUUCUUUCAGCAGGACCCAUCUCUGCAGCAAAGAGGAAACUGACAAACUGGCCUGGAGCCCAGAUCAUGCUAUCAGUGGCCGGAGGAUUGAUUGGCCUCUUUUUUCUAACAGCACUGGGUGUGCGUGCAGCACAAGCUAUAACACAGCGCAACCCCAGACAUCAAUAAAGUGUGUAUACCUGCA